GAUGAACGCUGGCGGCGUGCCUAAUACAUGCAAGUCGAGCGAACAGACGAGGAGCUUGCUCCUCUGACGUUAGCGGCGGACGGGUGAGUAACACGUGGAUAACCUACCUAUAAGACUGGGAUAACUUCGGGAAACCGGAGCUAAUACCGGAUAAUAUAUUGAACCGCAUGGUUCAAUAGUGAAAGACGGUUUUGCUGUCACUUAUAGAUGGAUCCGCGCCGCAUUAGCUAGUUGGUAAGGUAACGGCUUACCAAGGCAACGAUGCGUAGCCGACCUGAGAGGGUGAUCGGCCACACUGGAACGGAGACACGGUCCAGACGCCUGCGGGAGGCAGCAGUAGGGAAUCGUCCGCAAUGGGCGAAAGCCUGACGGAGCAACGCCGCGUGAGUGAUGAAGGUCUUCGGAUCGUAAAACUCUGUUAUUAGGGAAGAACAAAUGUGUAAGUAACUAUGCACGUCUUGACGGUACCUAAUCAGAAAGCCACGGCUAACUACGUG
rnacentral:rRNA from 1 species